UUUGUAGACAUUACUCAUCAGCGCAAGACUGCAUAAGGGAAUUCCUUUUACCUGGAAAGAUAACUCGCCAAGGAUUUCAUAGCAGGCCACUUGGACCACUUUCAUCAUUUUCUGUAGAUCUUUAUAUUCUUGAUACAACAACAUCCUAUUUCGGCCGAUGUUAAAAUCGAGGACCCCCAGAGCCUCUCCUGUUCUCUCACGAAGUGGAACUACUAUGUGGGUUUCUCCACAGGCAGAGGCCAGAACGACUUCUGAACUGUCAGUACAUUUAAAGAGGAAAUCUCUGAAAUCAAAACCAAAUAAGCACAAAGAUAUUAAACUUCUGCCUGUUCACAUCAUU